GUGCUUAACACAUGCAAGUCGAGCGGUGAAGCCCUUUCGGGGGUGGAUCAGCGGCGAACGGGUGAGUAACACGUGGGCAACCUGCCCCUAACACUGGGAUAACUCCGGGAAACCGGGGCUAAUACCGGAUACGACUUCGGACGGCAUCGUCUGUGGUGGAAAGUUCCGGCGGUUAGGGAUGGGCCCGCGGCCUAUCAGCUUGUUGGUGGGGUAAUGGCCCACCAAGGCGACGACGGGUAGCCGGCCUGAGAGGGCGACCCGCCACACUGGGACUGAGACACGGCCCAGACUCCUACGGGAGGCAGCAGUGGGGAAUAUUGCGCAAUGGGCGAAAGCCUGACGCAGCGACGCCGCGUGAGGGAUGAAGGCCUUCGGGUUGUAAACCUCUUUCAGCAGGGACGAAGCGAAAGUGACGGUACCUGCAGAAGAAGCACCGGCUAACUACGUGCCAGCAGCCGCGGUAAUACGUAGGGUGCAAGCGUUGUCCGGAUUUAUUGGGCGUAAAGAGCUCGUAGGCGGUCUGUCGCGUC
rnacentral:rRNA from 1 species